GUGCUCCCGGCAGGCUCUGCGCGGCUGCGCACCUGCCCGCGGCGCCUGACGAAUCGCCGCCUCUUGUGGGCGCCGGAAGACGCGUUUGAGGUUUUCACAUUUGCAGUUUAUUCACGAUCAGAAGGUGAUAGUAUCUGAACACAUCCCUCUUCCUGCACUAACUGGGAAAAACGUUAAGAGGGCCCACGAUACACACACGCGCACGAGAUAACCUAAGGUUGCGAAGGAGUUUAGCGAUGAUUGCACGGUUCUCCAGAAGCGAGCGGCCGGAGCUCCCGCUGCUCUCGGCGGCCGCGCGUGUGCUCCAGGCUUCCUCCUCCUGGCUCUCCAACCCGCAGGACAAAGGCUGCAGCAUCGGCCACGCGACUAGGGAUCCCAGGAGAAGCGAGGGUAGGGGACACCUCGCUUAACCCAGGUGGUCAGCACCGGGGAAUCGAGGUACUGAAGUCUUCUCAACCCUAACCCUCAACCCCCCACCCCUGAGAAGCCUUUGCUUCCAAGGAGACCAGACUUGAAGGUUUUACUGAAGAAACCACUCACCGCAAUGGAGUAAGCCAGAAGCAUGAUAAGGAUGACAACGAUGAAGCCUGAAAUGUCCCCCCAAGCCCGGCGCAGGGCUGAAGUGAUCAUGUUCAUUUUGGGGUUCAACCUGAGCAGAUGCCAAAGCUUCACUGUGGACAGCAGUACCAGGAAGGCAAUGAUGUAGCCAAGGGCAGCAUCAGUCGCUGCUGUCUCACCAAAACUGAUCCCCCUGUGGGACCGAAAGGGGAGACUAGGUCUCAGAGACUAUGAGAAUCUCAGCGUAGGAGGCUGGAUUGGAUUUAACAUGAUCCCAGAGGCCACCACUUCCCAUAAUAGGUCUGAGAGAGAACUGGUCCAAUUUCCCCAGCCAGAGCUCCGGCCCUGCCAUGUUCUGCAGACAGACGACUUCCUGCACCAAGGCCAGAAGGUGAUUGAUGUCCAUCAGCGCUGCUGAGUCCCAACCGGAGGCAGGUGAUGGCACCUUCAGAGCUUUCAACAGCGAGCUGACGAGUCUCCACAUAUCCUGCCAGUCAGCCCAGCUGGGUCCUUGGGAACACCCCAGAACAUGAUACUGGUCAGCAUGGUGCAGAGGAGCAGGGAGAAGCAGCAGGACACCCUCUGGACACGGGUGAAGUUGCUCCGAGCUGCGCAGCUGAAGAUGGAAUACCAGAUGUGUCCAUCCUGGAAGCCUGUGGACGUCUUCAUGAAAAACAGGUGCCUGUAAAAAGGCAGUGAAAGGGGGCAGAGAUGGGAGAAGACUGGUCUCUUCAGAGCAAUCUUGGGAUAAGAGGGAGGUGUUUGCUUCUAAGAUUUAUCCUCUGUUUUCUCUCAUGUGGAAGACAUACAGCAUCUUAACAUCACUUAGUUAGUGAUGGGGGUUCUGAACAGAGGAGGUUGGAAUCCUAGGCGGCCCUCCUACCUGCUGUGUGUCCUCGGGCAAGUUACUUUACUCUCUCUCUGCACGUCAGUUACUCAUCUGUCAAAUGGGGGCUAUAAUAGAACCUGCCUCAUGUGAUUUCUGAAAGGAUUAAGUGAUGAUUUUUGUACCGCAUUUGGCAAAGUAGCCAACAUCUAUGUGAGUGCGCGUCAGUAUUAGCCAUUAUCACUUUUGUUGUAAUUUUAAUAUAAUCCUAUAACUAUAGUAUUAUUAGGGUUAUUAUAACUAGUGCAUUAGAUGAUAUUGGUUAAAAAUCCCAGGCUUUAGCUUCAGAUUCAGUUUAAGAGAAUCAAAAUUGCAAGACAGGGUUUCUGAAAAUGGUACCAUAUUCUCCUUAGGCAUCUCUGUUAGUCUAGGAUUUUGGUCCCGAAUUUAGUCUAACCGCAGGACUUACAAGGGGCCCCCAUUCACCUUGAGAUUGUGUGGAACUGAUACUCCCGACUGGUGCCCAUUCUGGUGGCUGAUGCCAGCACCCCUCAGACUUGCAUGGUACUUUGACUGUCCCACAGUCUGUGCUGUGGGAGUGGCCUGGACUCAGUAAAGGUGCAUAAGGAGAGAGGUCGGCUAUCAACAACAGUGAUUUCCAUGUGAUUGUUCUACUCAAUAUUCUGCUGAUAGUUCCACAAAUAUUUGGUGAGCCUGGUGUUGUGUGCCAGGUGUCCUGCUGGGCACCGAGAUUCAUGAGGGAAUGACACGGCCCUGCCUUUAGACAGCUCUUUGUCUGGUUUUCAAGUAUCACAAGUCUGAUGCAUUGGGAGGAUCAUAUCUGCUCAUGUAAUAAAGCACUUACCCUGAGCCGCUCACUGUGCUGAGUAUACUACCCACAUCACCUCACAGGACCGGCACAGGUCUCCUUGGGGGAGGCACAUUGAGCAGCUCAUUUUUCAGAUGUGGAAGCUGAGACCUGGAGAGGUGAACUGACUUUUGCAGGGGCAUGUAGCAAGUCAGAAGCAUGCAUGUGAAACUGGGAGCCAUGUGCCCACAUCAGUGUUCUGUCUGCCAUUGGGUCCAAGUGUCUCUGACUUGGACUUUUUCCCUUUGCAGGCUGAGCUGUUCCCAGUGGCAGCUGGGAGGGAAAGACACCUUUCAGUAAAUACACUGGUAACAGACUUUGUUUUGAACCUAACUCAGAAGCCAUUUAAAGUAGAGGUCACAAACUCAAAUGCUAAAGGGGCCUGGAUAGAUGUAAAUAAGUCAAAUUAAAUGAAGGGGGGUGGGAGUGAGGUACUAGGGGUGGGUAAGGACUGUGGUAAAAUAGAGAGCACAUGGCCCUUCAAAGAAAAAUGUUGGUACUCUGCUCUAGCAAAUUGGUACCAAGCAGGAACCCUGGCUCACCACCUUCACACUUGCCAGAUUCUUGUGGAGUCUCUUGAAUUUUUUUUAAUAUUGGUUGGGAACAGACUAAUGUCCACUGAGAGAAGAAUGGUUGAAUUAGUUGUGGGACAUCCAGUCUGUGGAUAUUUUGUAGUCAGUAAGGACACAUUUGACCCAAGCAUACUGUCCUGGAAGGAUGUUCAUGGUCUGUCAUCAAAGAAAUAAGAUGACAUAUUUAGAGUAAUACCAUUUUAAAAGAUAUAAAAUAAGCAUCAUUCUGUGGUAUUGUGUGUGUGCACAUGAGCAUGUGUGUGUACAUUUGUAUCUGCUUUGAUGUGUUUGACCAGACGUAAGAGGAAGGAAGGAAAGCCAAGGGACACACAUGCUGAAACACCUAUUUAGAGUAAAAUUGAUUGAAGAAGGAGCCUCAGAUGGGCAGACGUGACAUCACCAUUCAAACCACUCUGUUCACUCAUAUGAAACAUAUUAUUCUAUGUCCUGUGUAAGGAAAUAUGAAUAGCUGUUCAACCAUUUCACCACCUCCAAGAUAAUUCUGUGUCAGAGGGUCUGUAUCCCUCCAGAGCCCCAACAAGAGAAACUGGUCAUUAAUGUCACACACUCGAAGCUACCGAGGCACGAGAGCUGAAACGUGACUUUAUUCUGCUUCAGCUGGAUUGUGAUGCAUCUUCCCUAGAGACGAAAAAACAAGAUAAAUAGCAUUUGCUUACAAAAAAAAAAAAGUACCUGAAUUGUUUCCUGUCCUGCUCUGUGGCCACUGGAAAUACUUUGUCAAGAACACAGUCUCCAACAUCAAUGGACAGCCAUGAGUUGCAGAGGAAAUGCCACUUCCGGUCCCUAGCCAGGUCAUGCACCAGCACCCGGCUUACAUACCUGGGGAAGGGACCCACACUUCUGAGGACAGUGUUGAGGCGGGGGUGAGGCUUCUUUGGAUACAGUGAGGGUUAACACCAUUGCAAACCUGAGUUUAAGAACAAGAACUCCUGAAAAGACAGAUUUUAUAUUUUUCUUCCUUGUUCUUGGUGCCUUGACCAAAAUGCCCCAAUCAGGGGGCGAAGUGGCCUCACGUGGGAGCUCAGCUAGUGUGGAGAGCCAGCUCUUGGAGGCUGCCACGUUUUCACAGAUGUAUGCUGCAAGAGGGUGCCUUCUGAAACUAUUAGUCUGGCUGUAGGCCUGCAAGUCCAGGACCAGAGUCCAGAGGCCUGGGAGAAAAGCCAAGCUGUCUACAUUGUGGGCAUUCAGGGAGACACCAACACAGGUACAUAAAUGCUGGUCUUCAUGCAGGCGCACACCCAGGGCGUGAGCCAUCUAGUUGAGACUCAGAACUUCAUGGGUGUCAUCUAACCUGAUUUAGGUCUUUGAGACCUGGGGAAGAAAUGGAAUGAUCUCGCCUCUGCUGGGAUGUCAGAUGCAGGAGCCACCAUUUCCCCAGUUGCCUUAUGGCUGAUAAGAAUAGCGAUUAAAAAAAAAAAAAGAAGAACAGCGGUAUCAAGGGCCCCUCUUUACUGAGUAUUUACUGUGUAAUAAGGACUAUGCUUGAAAGCUCCAGACAUGCAUUUUCUCAUUUCCAGGAAGACACCUCUGUUGAAUCUCACACCCUCCUGGGGAGGCCAACAUCCAAUGAUUGAUGGGUGCAGUGCCUGGGUGUGAUCAAGACCUGGGCAUCCCAACCCAACUCGGGACGCUCCAGAGCUCCCCAUGGAGGUCAGCCAAGCUGUUGUGCUGCAUCAAAGCUCUUCUCCCUCUGCUCAUCCUGCUUCCUUCUCUCCCUUCCCAGGUGCUGGGCCUAGGUACCCUGCACCCUGAACUCUAUCUCAGAGUCUGCUUCCCAGGAACCAACAUAUAACACUUAAAGUAGUAAUGUUUAAUCCCUUAGGUAAGUUGAAGAUAUCAAUAGAAGUGCUCUGUUUUUCUAAAGUUGCAAGCCACUGAUGGGUGGUCAGGCUGGAAACGACUCAUUUAGGUCACUAGUUUUGGCCUCACAAGCCAAAUAAUCCUCAGGUGGAUUCUCUUCUCCGGGCUUGCUGGCUCUGUGACCUUGGGCAAGUCACUUAUCUUGCCUAAGUUUAAAUUUUCCCACCUGUAAAACAAGAAUGAGAAUACUUGCCCUUGAGGAGCCAAUGAGAAAAGGGCACAGAAACGGGAAGGCUUAGCUUAAUGCUCAGAGUGGCAGUUGUUCUCACCUCUUCUACUAAAUAACCAGCCCAAUGUCUCAUUUAGUCUCCUCUUAUUGGGCAAGUUUACCUUCAAAAUGGGCAUCUAUUCCCAUUUUACAGAUGGGGAACUGGGGCCUAAAUGAAGGUCAGUGCUGCAAAUGUGCCAAGAGUGGAGCUAGUACUGGACCCCAGGCUUGCAACCUCUAGUCCUUGUCCUAGCUACUGAUCCAGGCCGUGAGGCUCAUGGGUGGUUGGGUCUCUCUAACCCCCCGUGUCUCUUUCUGUGAAAUGGGGAUCCAUUCUGUGUGUUUGAGGAGGGUUGUGAGGAUUAGCCUGGCAGCAAAUGCACAAUGCCCAGCCCUGGUGUGGCACAUAGUGGGUUCUCAUGGUGUGCUCACCCCUGACUUACCAGGAUGGCUGGUCCCCUGAGUUGUCGUGCCACAGCCUCAGGCUCCUCAGUUCCCCCAGGGGGAACAUGGUGGAGAGUAAGAAGACAUCCACUCCUCCUCGCUCAAAAACUGGGAUGUCAGGGUCUGACAGGUGGUGGGGUUCACUCUCUCCAUCCAGGCCAUAUAGGGUGACAGUCACCUGAAAUUCAGAGACGAGGAAUGGCCCAUUCCACAUGAUAACCAAGCCCCAGUGGCCGUGUUUCAUUGGAAGGAUCCAAAACCCAGUGAAAACCAACCUUGCAAGGCCCCUUCAUUCUCUCCUCCCUUCCCAUCUUGGACCUGCCUGAGCUAUUUUUCAGGUAUAUGAAGAUUUAGGAUAACACUACCUGCAUUUUUGUCUUCAGCAUGAAUUAUAAAACACUUCUCAGCAACCUUUUUAAACUUUCAUGUUUGUUUAUAAGGGCUCUAGUGUAAGAACUGGUUCCCCCUGCCCCAACAAUUCUAUUCCCAGGGUCUCCCAACGUGCCUGGGUGCCUGGCACUGAGACAUGAAUGCAUGAGAGCCCAUUAUUUCAUAAAUACAUAUUUCUAGGCCCCACUCCAGACCUACCAACUAAAAGUGCUGGGAACAGGGCCCAGGAAUCUGCUUUUCUGCAGUUAUCCAGGUGAUGCUGAUGAGCAUGCCUGAUUUCCUGAGCCAAAGAGCGGCAGUUCUGUCACCUGUGCUUGGCCCACAUCCCUCAGCCUCACUGCUGCAGCGAUCCCUGCACCCAUGUCCAGCUGCCAGCAGCUGCAUUGCUUUCCUGGAGGUUCUUGGGCUCAGAGUGGAGACUGGAAGUGGCAGAGAAUUAAUGGUGCUGUGAGCUGUCCUCCGCCAACAACUCAUGGGAUUGGGGCUGAUCCUAAGCACUUUGUGCAACACUGAAUGCUCAACUCCAUGGCAGAGUCUGCAUGUUGGGAACCAGCCUACAGGUCAUGCAGCCUCACCUUGGCCUGAUCCUGAGCAUCCUUCCUCCUUGCCCAGAUCACCACCAGCACGUAGGCCACACAGAGGCAGCUCACGGUGGUCACAACCACAGGGUUGUCCUCGAAGGUGGCAAAGAGCUCGGCAGUCUGGCAGACGUCAAUGGCGUUGGGCAUCACCAGGAACGUGCUUCCAAAGAAGAUGGAGAAAUUAAGGCUUAGAGAAGUUCAUUCACCAGCCCAUGACAGUACAGAUGGCAAGUGGCAGAGCUCCCUGUUCUAGGAGAAGUGGAGCCUAGUAGCUGAAGGGAGAGCAGGAGCCCUGGGCCGGUACCUGACUCCAGGCAGAAGCAGUACUCCAAGGGGGCCAGGGCCGAGGAUGUAUUGCAGAAGAUGGUGAAGCUCGUCAGAAUGAGUUCUGGCAUGUCCUUCCAGAGCCUAUCCCUGCCUGCGUCAGAAUAUAGAUAGUGCAUCUCCUUGUUGCCUGCCUUCAAGGCUACAUCUGCCUUGGUUUCCCACUGCUUCCCCCCACCCUGCCAUUUCCAUGGAAUUCUUAAUCUGACUUGCAAGGGGCAGGAAAAGUGAUACCGGUGUGAAGGUUAAAAAAUGGCAAAGCUGACCUCUGUCCAUUACUUUGUGGCGAGAUAGGAUAGUUCCAGAACUCUGCAGACACCUACCACAUGACCACUGGAAACAAAAAGCAGCUGGCUGGUGAGAUGCCCAUCCACAGUUGGCACGCCACCUCCCACCCCACAGCAAUCUGUGCCAAGGGUACCCACAGUAUAGGGUGUGGAAUGGAAACAGACCCUGUGGGACCCACCUGGCUCACCUCCAGGGAUGAAUCACAGGGCUGGAUGCUGUGAACCAGGUUUGUGACCAGGACACACUGAAACUGGCUGGCAGGAUGCUGGACCCCCGAGUCUGGAAGGGAAGAGGAAGGAAGUUUGGAAAGGGGGUCUGCCAACCCCAAGUACCUUCAAGAGGAACUGCCACAUGCAGACUGCCUGGAACCCUGCUCCUCAGGAACACACAGCCUGUCCCCAUUAAGAUGGGGCUCCCUUACAGGCUGGCACUGGCUGUCUAGCGGAAUAUUGUGGUUGACUCUGAAAAUCGGAUUUAAACCACCGAAUUAUGAUUCUCUCCAAUAGAAACCAAGGUAGCCUGAAUCAUGAAACUGCACAAUGGAUGAAGAAAACAAAAACCUCAAGAGAAAAACCCUCUGUUUAGCCAGAGAACCAGGGAAAGGGACCCAAUGAGCUUGAAAGCACAGGGAAAAUAUCUGUUUUGUGUUCUCUUGUUUCUCUCUUGGCCCUGAACUAGGCUAUCCUCCCUCAGAGCUGCAUUGACUACUUAAGGGGAUACAAACACAAAAUCCCCAAGAGAAAACCCAUCUUUCUAGCCAGAGGAGCAAUGGAGAAAGACCUGUGGUAGCUGGAAACUGUGGGGGAAACCCUGAAAAGGAGAGAUCCCCCACUUCUGUGAACAACCCAGCACAAACCAUGACUUCACCCAGAAAUUAUGCAGGUGCAAAACAGCCCCAAAGACACACAGCCAAGGCUUUGUUGAAGUCAGACUACAACAUAAACACCACCCGGAGUGCCACAUGUGUGGGGCAGACCCAAACAGCUUUGGAAACUGAAUGGACAUGGGAACCACGGCUCACAGAAGGCAAGUCGUGAAGUGUGGUCUGAGUCUAACAAGGGGUCCUGCCAGCUAAAACAAAACAAACAACAAGCCGUUUUCCAGAGGAUUUAAACAGGAUCCAGAGUCUCAGAACCUAUUGUCAAAAUGUCCAGAAUAAAAUCCAAAAUUGCCUGAUAUACAAAGAAUGAGUAAAAUUUGAUCCAGUCUCAAGGGAAAACAUAACAGAUGUCAGCCUGUAGAUGACUCAGGGGUGGAAAUUAUCAGACAGACUUGAAAUCCACCAUCAUAACCAAGCUCCAUGACAUAAAAGUAAAUCCUCUUUAAAUGAAUGGAAAGAUAGACAUUCUGAGCAGAGAAACAGAAACUUUUUUUUAAAAAUGAAAAUUUUAGAAAACCACAACACUUGAAAUAAAAUUUUACUAGAUGCUUACAAUAGCUGAAUAGUGACAACAGAGGAAAGUUGGUGAACUUGAACAUAGAGCAAGAGAAAGCAUCCAAGUUGAAGAACAGAUGUUAAAUACAUUUAAAUAUUAAUAAAAUAUUGAAUUGUUUAAAAUGAGCAGAGCAUCACCAAUCCAUGUGACAAUAUGAAAAGAUAAAAUAUUUGUGUCAUUGGCGUACCAAAGAGAAGAGAAAGAUUGGUGUAGAAAAAUAUACUGAGGAAAUAAUGGUGAAAACCUCCUCAAUUUGGGAAAACCCUACAUUUAAAGAUUCAGACCCCCCCAAAGGAAAAAAAGUUAAAGAAAACCUUCCCCACACAUAUAGUUAUCAAACUGCCCAAAAUUAAAGAUUAUUGAGAUAAAUCAAAAAAUCAAACUGCUGGAAAAAUGGCACAUUACAUGUAGACAUGUGAAUGAAUGUAGAUUUCCCCUCAGAAACCCAUGGUGGUCAGAAGACUGUGGCAACAUCUUUAAGUGUCGAAACAAAAGAACUUUCAACACUUAAUUCUUUAUCCAGCAGAAAAGUCCUCCAGGGAGUGAAGCAAAAUAAGGGCAUUCUCAGGAAUAAAGAAAUCCUCUAAGAGGAUUUGUUGUCAGAAAAUCUGCUAUAAAAGAAAUGGUUAAGGGAGUUUUUACAGCUGAUGGGAAAUAUUAGAGGGGAACUUGGAAUUUCAGGAAUGAAGGGAGAGUACAAGUAAUGGUUAAUUACCUUGGUAAAUGAAUAGGCUACUUUUCUCCCUUAAGUUCUUUAAAUGUGUAUGACUGUUGAAAAGGGUUUUUGAUGUAUGUAAGUGUCCUACAUAGGACAAUUAUAAAGGAGGGUGGGCAAUGGGACCCAUAUGCCAGUAAGGCUUCAACAUUUUACUGAAGUCAAUACUAACUCCAUUUGGACAAUGAAAGAUUAGAUAUAUAUAUAUAUAUAGUAGUCCCUGAAGCAAUCACUAGAAAGUUAAUAAAGAGAACCAAAUAAUAGAUAUGUUAAAAUGGAAUACUAAAAAUAUGCAAUUACUCCAAAAGAAGACAAGAAAGGAGAGGAACAGAGGGAAAAAUAAACAAGGGCAAAGAGAAAACAAGUAACAAAAUAUAGUAGACCUAAACCUAACUUUAUCAAUAAUUACAUAUAAAUAGUCUAAACACAGCAAUUAUUGUGCCAAAUGGGAUUUUAAAAAACCAAGACACAACCAAAGACUGUCUACAAGAAGCCCACUUUAAAUACGAUGAUAAAGAUAUGUUAAAAGUACAAGUAUAGAAGCUACACCAGCAAACACUAAUGAAAAAAUGAUGGAGAAUGCUUUAUUAAUAUCAGACUAUGUAGAUUUCAGAACAAGAAAACACUGACUCUUCAGAGAAAUAUGAAGGAUGGUUUUGAAUAGCAAAAUCUGGCCUGUUUUUCAGGGAUCUGCCUGGAAGAAGCAACUCGUUCCAUUUUCUGAACUCUGCUGCCAACUGAAAUUGCCCAGGACUAAAAGGCAGAGAAACGGAUUUUUCCUAAUUUGUCUCCCAGUGAGCUCACCCAAGGGAAAAGACAACAAAGUGGUUUUAGAAACUGCUGCCAACAAAGAGAAGAUAUGCUCAGAGUACAAAGCAACAGAGGCAACAACUAAACAUUUCUGUUACGACGCUAUGAGCCAGCAAUUCCACUCCUGUGUACAAACCCAACAGAAACAUGUACAUGUGUGCACCAGAAGACACGUGCUCAAAUGUUCACAACUGCGCAAUUUGUAAUUGCCAAAUGGGAAAUCACCCAAAAGGACUGCCAACACUAGAAUGGAUAAGUAAAAUGAAGACUGUCCAUACAAUGGAAUGCUAUAUAAGAAUGAGAAAAAAAAAUAAUGGUUACACAAAACAAUAUAGACAAAUCUCAAAAAGGAAACAAUCAAGGCAGUCAUCAAUGUAAAUGCAACAGGGAAGGAAAUAGAAACCCAAGACCAGGGAUUGUCUUGCUGGCAUUAGAACCUUCUGGAGAAGGCAUUUUAUUUUGAUGGCACAGAAGGAUGCCUGAGACCACAGAGGACUGUUGAGUUUGAAACUGGCACUCAGUGGGACAGAUUUGGGCCACGGAUAGAGCUGGCCCCUCUUGGACCCGCCCCACCCAGGGCUUCCUGCAAGCAGAGCAUGCACAGGGAUGGAUUCAGAACCUCUAGCUCCACAAGGUAGAGCUGCAGACGUUGUGGAGUUAGGGCCUUCAGGAUUUCCCUGGGGAUUCAUGUUGAACUCAGGACCCCUGGAAGGAGCCGCCAAACCCAAUGAGCAUCUGAAAAUUCUGGAACAUUCUCAGGCACCCAGCAGAGCAGAAAAGAGCUUACCCCAGGCCCAGAAAACAUUCCCACACCCAGGUGAGCUUCUUCACCUCAUUACCGACUCUUUGGAUGGUCACUUGGGAGAGAAUCUACCCAGAACCAAGCCAAAAGGACCCAGCUCUUCGUGACUGUGCAUGUGGCCUCCAUCAUGAGAAAACCUGCACUGGGAAAACAAAAUGGCCAGAAUAUGUUUCCUUGCCUCGAAGAACUCAUUGUCUAGGAAGGAAGAUGACACGUAAAAAGUUGCAGUUAUGCCAGAAGUAACCUCACAGGUUGUGGACAAGGCCCUACAGGUGCAGAGAGAAGGACUUGACUGUACUGGGGUUGGAGGAGGGAGACCUCACAAAGUAAAAGCACAAAAACUUUUCAAAUUCAGUUUUUACUUCUAUACCUCAUGACUGCAUUAUGGAUGCAACACAUCCCAUGGGAAAGGUGGCCUCUGGAAAGGCAGCCUCCUCUUCCUCGCUCCUUCCCCACAUGAUAAGAAGUCUCUGAUGCUUGUACCAACUAAACUGUCCUGUCAUGCAGCCAUAGCUACCUCUGUCCACCUUGGUCAUAUAUAAAUGCCAUCUUAGCAACUCUCCUCCUAGCUCAGCACCGUCAAAAGAACUUUCCCUGACGAUGGAGAUGUCUCGUCCGCGCACACCAGUAUGACAGCCAUUAGCCACACGUGUCUUUGGAGCCUUUGAAAUGUGGUUAGUAUGAAUGAGGAAUUUAAUUUUAUUGUAAUUAAUUUGUCUUUAAAUUUAUAUAGACAGCCAUGUGCUGUUAGUGGCUUCGGUACUGGACAGCACAGUUAAGCUCCCACAUUAAUGCCUUCAUUGGACAUGAUCUCUUGACUCAGGACAUCAUUAUCCACAGUAUGAAGCCCAAAUUGUACAUCUGUGCACAAUCCAAUCCCUAAACCAUUUUCCAUCCCCAUCUCAGUGGUAGUGGAGAGGAGCUGUGAUGACAACUAUGGCCUCUGGAGUGUUCGAAGCCCAGCUCCAUGGUUGGGCAAGUUACUUAACUCUGUGUGUCACUCUCGUUAUCUGUGAAAUGGGGUUGGAUACCUACUUAGGGCUUUUGUGAGGAGGACAUGCAUUCCUGUGUGCCGAAGGCUUAGAAGAAUGCCUGAUACAUAGGAAGCUCUCAAUAAAUGGCACCUAUAAUUGUCAUUAUUUCUCUCUGUCCCUGGCAGAGCCAGUCUGCCCUCACUCUCCACCCCAGAACCGUCCAGCUCUGUACCAUCAUUCACACUGGUCCUCCUCUCUGCCUAUCCAAAUGCUUCCCACUCUCAAGGGCUCAGCUCUGCAGCCCUUCUCCAGGAAGCCUUCUGUCCUAACCUUCCCUAGCCUGAGCACACUUUCCUUCCUUGGAACUCCAUAAUACUUGCUAUCUGGGCCUCUUCUAGAGCAGCUGUAAUAGUCAACUAGUUAUUACUUACUGUGUACAUGUCUUCACAACCAGCCUAGAGCUAACUUCAAAUCCUAGACUAGGUUAUGGAUGUCUGUUUUCCCUUCAGGGACAGGCCAGAGAUGUAUGCAUUGUAUGGGGUCAAAAAAUAAGUUUCUGAAUAUCAUAUUGGCUGAUCUUUCCGAUUUUUCUCUCUUGCCCAAGAAAAGAAAGGAAAGGAACAUGCUAUAAGCUCCUGCUUUAUUCCAAGCCCCAUGAUGGACAUGAUCAGAGUUUUUACAGUUUAAUUUAAACUUUACAGCCACCUAUGGGGACAGGUAUUAUAAUUCUUCUUUUCAAGAUGAGGCAGCUGAGGGUCUGAGAUUUAGGCAAGUAGCACAGGUGCUUAGCUAGUAAGGAGAAGAGCUGGGCCUCCGGUGCACAUAGGUCUGUUGGGGUUGCUAGGGCCAAAGAUGGCCCAACAAGGGACCACACUGCUCAGGCACCAUGUUCACACCCUUGCUUAGUCUUUUCCCAUGCCACGUUGGCUAGUUCUGGGAUUUGUGCUAACUAGCAGCAGGCAGUGAAGUAAAAUGAUGCCAAUCCUGGGUUCGCCUUACAGGAGGCUGGCAGCUUCUGCUGCCUCUCUCUUGAAACACUUUUGGGAGGCUUUUGCUGUCAUGGAAGGAGUCCAGCUAUCCUGCUGGAGAGAUCCCAUGGAGAUGGUCAGGCCAGGCCCUGAGACUGCAUGGAGAGGGAGAGAGGCCCAGACCCAGUCUUCCUAGCCUGCCAGUCAACAGCCAGCUAACUUGCAACCACAAAAGGAACCUCAAGUGAUAAAAGCAGAAACCAGUCAGAGCCCGGCAGAGCCCAAUCAGCCCACAGAACUGAGCACAGAGAGGUAAGAACAAUGACAGGUGCUUUAACCGCUAUGUUUCGGGGUGGUUUGUUUCACGGUAACGAAUGACCAAACCUCUUGUUUAAGGUGAGCUACUUCCUUCCGUGUUCCCGUUGCCCUGCUCUCUGAUGCACUGGCCAGUGUUCAGUCCACCUGAAGGCAGCAGAUGCGUUAGAAAACCUGUCUGUGGAAUACCCACAUUUGCUCUCCUCUCUGCCUCUGAUCCUCAGCCAGAGACGUCAGCAAGCGGCAAGCUCUGCAGUAUGGUGGGGAGGGAUAUGCACUGACGAGCUCUCGGCCAGAACUGGGCUCCUUCCCAUCUCUGAGGUUGUAAAAACAAAGUUGCUAAUGACCUCCUUGCAGGGGUGUGUAGGAAUCAAACGACAUGCUGCUCAUCAGACACUUCACAUGCUACUUGGUACGUGUCAGGCAUCCAGGGAAUGGCGUUGGUUAGAGGCUGGAGAACAGCUCCUACUCCUACAAGGCUCUUGUCCCACUCUUCCCUUCUUAGCAAAGACCUAGAAAGCAGAGGUCAGGCUUCCAUGGGGCCAGAGCAAUGCCAGAGCUUCUUGACAGAGAGCAGCUGCUGCUUGUUAUCUCUGUUUAUGAAAAGGGAGGCUGGACGGUCAACAUGAAGGCUAUCCCAGGAACCACUGCAGGACCCCUAACCCUUUGGGAAAUGUAUGUCCUUUGGGAUAUGAAGACGCUGCCUCCCAAAAAAAGGAAUAACAUGGGAGUGAAGAAGGCAGAACUGAGUUUCAGUAACCACCUCUGUAACUCCAGAGCUUGGCAACUAGUCCGUGUAUGUUCGAAGAAGACACAGAAUUAUGUUCCUGCUUCAUUCACUGCUGUAUCCAGCACAUAGUAGGUGCUUAGUAAAUACACGUUGAAUGAAUAAAUGGAUGUGGGGGUGAAUGAAUGUUGCACUGCCUGCAGCAACACUGCAGGUUGCCUGUCCCAAGCCAUCCCCUCCUUGUUCCUUGCUAAUGGAUUCCCAGUGUGAGUCUGGGGGCAACAUGCUGCCUGGGGAAGUCACCUGAUGGGUUUAAGAAAAUCAGGGCACACCUGUUCCUCCUUACUGGGAAUUAGUCUAGGGGUGGUCGUGUGAUGCCAUUUAGCCAGGAGACUGAGAGAAAAAUCUGCUCAGACAGUUCUGGAAAGGUUUUCCUUGGUAUAAAGAGAGGGAGCUGUAAAAAGGAAAUGCCUCCUCCCUCCUGCACUUUGUGUCUCUGCUUUAGCACGUUAUUAUGGAAGGGCAUGAUUCCUGGGUUGAAGGCUAUCACUCAUAAGCAAAAGAGAGCAAGCCCAAGGAUGAGAAACCAACCCCCUGAGGAUGGCCUGGUAGUGCCUGUUGAGAUGGCCCAGAUGAGUUUCCAGGCAACCCAGGACCCCCUGUUGACUUGAGGUCUGAGACAAAGACAUAUCCUCAGAGUUUCUGCAGAUAUUGUGUUACUUCCAGCCAAAGCACCUUCCCUUAACUCGAACUUUCAUGAUAUCAUCAUGGGCUGAAUUGUGUCUUCCCCUCCCCCACCCCAAGAUUCACAUGUUGGAGCCCCAGCACCUCGAAAUGUAACUGCAUUUAGAGAGAGAGUCUUUAGAGAGGUGAUUAAAUUAAAAUGAGUCCAUUAGGGUGGCCCUAAUGCACUCUGACAGGUACCCUUAUAAGAAGAGGUCAUUGGGACACACAACCAGGGAGGCAUGUGCCCAGAGAAAUGACUACCCAGGGAGGGGGAGGCGGGGGUGGGGCGCGGGGUUGAGGCCUCAGAAGCCAGCUCUGCUGAUACUUUGAUCUUGACUUCCAGCCACCAGAGGUAUAAGAAAGCAGACUUGUGCUAUUGAAGCCACUGGUAUUUUGUUAUGGUAGCCCUAGAAAACUAAUACAGAUAGCCAUUGCUAUGAUCAGUUAUUAUCCCCAUUAUCACAAAAUCCUGACGUCACCAUUUAAUUGUCCCUGGGAUGCAGUGAGGGCCUGAAUAAAGAAAGCUAGCCUGGGUUUCUCUGUAUUAUAUAACAGGGCAAUGAUAUCAGCCUAAGACUGGCCUUCUUGCGUCCUCCACCCAUCAACACAUCCACCCAUUACUUCAUUCUGCAGAAAUCUAGCAAACAUCCAUCAUGUGUCGGCACUGAGUAGAA